GCCUUGCGAAGCUAACCUAGCAUCGGUCUUGUAAACCGAAGAUAAGACAUAACUUCUCCAAGGCU
rnacentral:tRNA from 1 species